ACGGGAGGCAGCAGUGAGGAAUAUUGGUCAAUGGACGGAAGUCUGAACCAGCCAAGUAGCGUGAGGGAUGGCGGCCCUAUGGGUUGUAAACCUCUUUUGUCGGGGAAUAAAGUGUGCCAUGUAUGGUAUUUUGCAUGUACCCGUCGAAUAAGGAUCGGCUAACUCCGUGCCAGCAGCCGCGGUAAUACGGAGGAUCCGAGCGUUAUCCGGAUUUAUUGGGUUUAAAGGGAGCGUAGGCGGGAUGUCAAGUCAGCUGUGAAAUGUAGUCGCUCAACGUCUGCACUGCAGUUGAAACUGGUGUUCUUGAGUGCGUAAGAGGCAGGUGGAAUUCGUCGUGUAGCGGUGAAAUGCUUAGAUAUGACGAAGAACUCCGAUUGCGAAGGCAGCCUGCUGGGCCGCGACUGACGCUGAAGCUCGAAGGUGCGGGUAUCAAACAGGAUUAGAUACCCUGGUA
rnacentral:rRNA from 2 species